rnacentral:misc_RNA from 1 species
GAUGAAGAACGUAGCGAAAUGCGAUAGGUAAUGUGAAUUGCAGAAUUCAGUGAAUCAUCGAAUCUUUGAACGCACAUUGCGCCCGCCAGUAUUCUGGCGGGCAUGCCUGUUCGAGCGUCAUUUCAACCAUCAAGCCCCCGGCUUGUGUUGGGGACCUGCGGCUGCCGCAGGCCCUGAAAACCAGUGGCGGGCUCGCUAGUCACUCCGAGCGUAGUAGUUACAUCUCGCUCAGGGCGUGCUGCGGGUUCCGGCCGUUAAAAGCCUUAUUUACCCAAGGUUGACCUCGGAUCAGGUAGGAAGACCCGCUGAACUUAAGCAUAUCAAUAAGCGGAGGA